CAUGGAGGGUGAGAAUCCCGUCCGGCUGACCUUCAGGACGUUUUACGAUACGCUCUCAAAGAGUCGAGUUGUUUGGGAUUGCAGCUCAAAAUGGGAGGUAAAUUUCUCCUAAGGCUAAAUACCGGCGAGAGACCGAUAGCGAACAAGUACCGUGAGGGAAAGAUGAAAAGAGUUUUGAAAAGAAAGUCAAACAGUACGUGAAAUUGUUGAAAGGGAAACGAUUGAGGCCAGUCGUACCGACGGAAAUUCGACUUCUCGAGUGCUAAUCGUGGGUGACGUUGAGCCUCACGGCCUUCGUUGCUUGUGUUGUUGGUGCUUUUGGGGUGUACUUUUCCGUAUGGUAGGUCAGCAUCGAUUUCGAUCGUCAUAAAAUGAUCGGGGGAAUGUAGCUUCGGUCUCGUAUCGGAGUGUUAUAGACCUUGGUAGAUGUGACGAUUGGGAUCGGGGAUUGCAACGAAUACCCUCUGGGCUAUCCGUCUGACCUCUGAAAGUCGCUCGGGUGUCGAAAGCGUGCUUAUGGCUAUUCGAGUUGGCGGUCAACAGGUUAGAACGUGAUUACAUUCGUUAAGGAUGUUGACGUA
rnacentral:rRNA from 1 species